rnacentral:rRNA from 1 species
CCCUUAGAUGUCCGGGGCUGCACGCGCGCUACACUGAAGGAAUCAGCGUGCUAAAACCAUUGUCGAAAGGCAUUGGUAAACCCAUUAAAAUCCUACGUGAUUGGGAUCGGGAAUUGCAAUUAUUUCCCUUGAACGAGGAAUUCCCAGUAAGUGUGGGUCAUAAGCUCGCGUUGAUUACGUCCCUGCCCUUUGUACACACCGCCCGUCGCUGCCCGGGACUGAGCCGUUUCGAGAAAAGCGGGGACUGCUGCUGUCGGGGCUUUCGGGCCUUGGCUUCGGUGGAAACCGCUUUAAUCGCAGUGGCUUGAACCGGGCAAAAGUCGUAGCA